CUAGUACUCCCUCCGUCCCAAAAUUCUUGUCUUAAAUUUGUCUAAAUACGGAUGUACCUAAUACUUAAACGUGAUUUGAUACAUCCGUAUUUAGACAAAUCUAAGACAAGAAUUUUGAGACGGAGGGAGUAUUUG
rfam:Triticum aestivum genome assembly, contig: Triticum_aestivum_CS42_TGACv1_scaffold_458195_5DS